rnacentral:rRNA from 1 species
ACGGAAGGCAGCAGUAGGGAAUAUUGGACAAUGGGGGCAACCCUGAUCCGGCGACGCCGCGUGAGUGAAGAAAUAUUUCGGUAUGUAAAGCUCUAUCAGCAGGGAAGAAAAUGACGGUACCUGACUAAGAAGCACCGGCUAAAUACGUGCCAGCAGCCGCGGUAAUACGUAUGGUGCAAGCGUUAUUCGGAUUUACUGGGUGUAAAGGGAGCGUAGACGGCAUAGCAAGUCUGAAGUGAAAUGCGGGGGCUCAACCCCUGAACUGCUUUGGAAACUGUUAAGCUAGAGUGUCGGAGAGGUAAGUGGAAUUCCUAGUGUAGCGGUGAAAUGCGUAGAUAUUAGGAGGAACACCAGUGGCGAAGGCGGCUUACUGGACGAUAACUGACGUUGAGGCUCGAAAGCGUGGGGAGCAAGCAGGAUUAGAUACCCUGGUA